UAAUUAGCUCAGUUGGUAGAGCACUCGGCUGUUAACCGAUAGGUCGUAGGUUCGAGUCCUACAUUA
rnacentral:tRNA from 2 species